GUAGGUGGCAAGCGUUGUCCGGAAUUAUUGGGCGUAAAGCGCGCGCAGGCGGUUCUUUAAGUCUGAUGUGAAAGCCCACGGCUCAACCGUGGAGGGUCAUUGGAAACUGGGGAACUUGAGUACAGAAGAGGAAAGCGGAAUUCCACGUGUAGCGGUGAAAUGCGUAGAGAUGUGGAGGAACACCAGUGGCGAAGGCGGCUUUCUGGUCUGUAACUGACGCUGAGGCGCGAAAGCGUGGGGAGCAAACAGGAUUAGAUACCCUGGUAGUCCACGCCGUAAACGAUGAGUGCUAAGUGUUAGGGGGGUUUCCGCCCCCCUUAGUGCUGCAGCUAACGCAUUAAGCACUCCGCCUGGGAGUACGGCCGCAAGGCUG
rnacentral:rRNA from 1 species